CUACGGGAGGCUCCAGUGAGGAAUAUUGCACAAUGGGGGGAACCCUGAUGCAGCAACGCCGCGUGGAGGAUGACGCAUUUCGGUGUGUAAACUCCUUUUAUAUGUCAAGAAAAUGACGGUAGCAUAUGAAUAAGCACCGGCUAACUCCGUGCCAGCAGCCGCGGUAAUACGGGGGGUGCAAGCGUUACUCGGAAUCACUGGGCGUAAAGGACGCGUAGGCGGAUUGGAAGGUCAGGUGUGAAAUCCUACAGCUUAACUGUAGAACUGCACUUGAAACUUCUAAUCUAGAGUAUGGGAGGGGGAGAUGGAAUUAGUGGUGUAGGGGUAAAAUCCGUAGAUAUCACUAGGAAUACCUAAAGCGAAGGCGAUCUCCUGGAACAUUACUGACGCUAAGGCGUGAAAGCGUGGGGAGCAAACAGGAUUAGAUACCCCAGUAGUC
rnacentral:rRNA from 1 species